rnacentral:rRNA from 1 species
GAUGAACGCUGGCGGCGUGCCUAAUACAUGCAAGUCGAGCGAACAGACGCUGAGCUUGCUCCUCUCACGUUAGCGGCGGACGUGUGAGUAACACGUGUAUAACCUCCCUAUCAUACUGGUAUCACUUCGGGACACCGGCGCUAAUCCCGUAUAAUCUCUUGAUCCGCAUUGUUCAUUAGUGAAAGACGGUUUUUCUGUCACUUCUCGCUGGUUCUGCGCCGCUUUAGCUAGUUGGUAAGGUAACGGCUUACCAAGGCAACGAUGCGUAGCCGACGUGAGAGGGUGGUAGGCCGCACGAGAACUGGAACGCGGUCAAGGGGACUAAGGGAGGCAGCAGUAGGGAAUGGUACGCAGUGGGCGGAAGCCUGGCGGAGCAACGCGGAGUGAGUGAUGAAGGUCUUCGGAUCGUAAAACUCUGUUAUUAGGGAAGAACAAAUGUGGAGGGAAAUAUAGACGUAGUGACGGUAACUAAUAAGAAAGCAACGGCUAACUACGUG